UAGCUAUUGGCCCUUUCUCCAUUUGCAAAAAUUUGGAUCUAAUGCAUAUUUAUUUGACUUACCUAAGGAUAAGAAUAUUAAUCUUGUUUUCAAUGUGGAGGAUUUGUCACCUAAUCAAGGAACCUUUAAGCCUCCUACUUUGCCUUCUAGUGUUUCUACAAGUCAGCUUGUGCCAAAGUAAACAUCACUUCCUCAGUCUAAAGAUGUCAUUAAUGCUGUGCUUGAUGAUGAGUUCGUACUUCCUCGCAAGGUGGAUUUCGUAGAUUUCUUAUCAAGUGGCAAGGCCGUCUUGAUUUUGAUACCACUUGGAUCACACGAGGAAUUUCAGACUUUGGAUCCUUCUCUCGAAUGCUUAUUUGCAAA
rnacentral:misc_RNA from 1 species